rnacentral:rRNA from 1 species
UAGGGAAUAUUGCGCAAUGGGCGAAAGCCUGACGCAGCAACACCGUGUGUAGGAUGAAGGUUUUCGGAUCGUAAACUACUGUUAGCAGGGAAUAUAAUGACUGUACCUGCAGAGGAAGCAUCGGCUAACUACGUGCCAGCAGCCGCGGUAAUACGUAGGAUGCAAGCGUUGUCCGGAAUUAUUGGGCGUAAAGAGUUCGUAGGCGGUGAUUUAAGUCUGGUGUUAAAGCUCGGAGCUCAACUCCGACAUGGCAUUGGAAACUGGAUUGCUAGAGUGUGAUAGAGGUAACUGGAAUUCCAGGUGUAGCGGUGAAAUGCGUAGAUAUCUGGAGGAACACCGGUGGCGAAAGCGAGUUACUGGAUCAUAACUGACGCUGAGGAACGAAAGCCAGGGUAGCAAA